AGUGAACGCUGGCGGUAGGCCUAACACAUGCAAGUCGAACGGCAGCACAGUAAGAGCUUGCGCUUACGGGUGGCGAGUGGCGGACGGGUGAGGAAUACAUCGGAAUCUACUUUUUCGUGGGGGAUAACGUAGGGAAACUUACGCUAAUACCGCAUACGACCUACGGGUGAAAGCAGGGGAUCUUCGGACCUUGCGCGAUUGAAUGAGCCGAUGUCGGAUUCGCUAGUUGGCGGGGUAAAGGCCCACCAAGGCGACGAUCCGUAGCUGGUCUGAGAGGGUGAUCCGCCACCCUGGAACUGAGACACGGUCCAGACUCCUACGGUAGGCCGCAGUGGGGACUAUUGGACAAUGGGCGCAAGCCUGAUCCAGCCAUACCGCGUGGGUGAAGACGGCCUUCGGGUUGUAAAGCCCUUUUGUUGGGAAAGAAAAGCAGCAGGUUAAUCCCCCGCUGUUCUGACGGUACCCAAAGAAUAAGCACCGGCUAACUUCGUG
rnacentral:rRNA from 1 species